UCUUCUCAAUAUGAAGUUUUU
rnacentral:piRNA from 1 species